ncrna:unclassified sequences Mu-gpT-DE RNA
CCCUGACUACCCGCAAUAUCGCAGGUAGACAUUAGCCACGACAGGAGAUUCUCAUG